rnacentral:tRNA from 1 species
AUGUGGCUCAAGUGGUAACAUGUUCGCCUAACAUGCGUGAGGCACUGGGUUCGAUUCUCAGCACCACAUA